rnacentral:rRNA from 1 species
GAAUUUUGGACAAUGGGGGCAACCCUGAUCCAGCCAUCCCGCGUGUGCGAUGAAGGCCUUCGGGUUGUAAAGCACUUUUGGCAGGGAAGAAAAGGCUCUGGCUAAUACCUGGAGCUGCUGACGGUACCUGCAGAAUAAGCCCCGCUUCGCUACGUCCCCGCAGCCGCGGUAAUACGUAGGGUGGAAGCGUUAAUCGGAAUUACUGGGCGUAAAGCGUGCGCAGGCGGUUCGGCAAGAAGGAUGUGAAAUCCCAGGGCUUAACCGAGGAACUGCAUUCUUAACUGCCGGGCUAGAGUAUGUCAGAGGGGGGUAGAAUUCCGCGUGUAGCAGUGAAAUGCGUAGAGAUGCGGAGGAAUACCGAUGGCGAAGGCAGCCCCCUGGGAUAAUACUGACGCUCAUGCACGAAAGCGUGGGGAGCAAAC